rnacentral:rRNA from 1 species
GUACACUCCUGCGGGAGGCAGCAGUGGGGAAUUUUGGACAAUGGGGGCAACCCUGAUCCAGCAAUGCCGCGUGAGUGAAGAAGGCCUUCGGGUUGUAAAGCUCUUUUGUCAGGGAAGAAACGGUGGUGGCGAAUAACUACUACUAAUGACGGUACCUGAAGAAUAAGCACCGGCUAACUACGUGCCAGCAGCCGCGGUAAUACGUAGGGUGCAAGCGUUAAUCGGAAUUACUGGGCGUAAAGCGUGCGCAGGCGGUUGUGUAAGUCAGAUGUGAAAUCCCCGGGCUCAACCUGGGAAUUGCAUUUGAGACUGCACGGCUAGAGUGUGUCAGAGGGGGGUAGAAUUCCACGUGUAGCAGUGAAAUGCGUAGAUAUGUGGAGGAAUACCGAUGGCGAAGGCAGCCCCCUGGGAUAACACUGACGCUCAUGCACGAAAGCGUGGGGAGCAAACAGGAUUAGAUACCCGGGUAGUCCCA